rnacentral:miRNA from 1 species
CGUCAGACCUUGGUAUAGGGA